AUGGGCAGCCUCCAGAUCACCCACUUCCUCCCCUUCAAGCUGGAUUUUGGAUCCGGCGACUGCGCCAAGUGGAAGGACAUCAUGCGAUACGUUCUGUCCAUGUACGACGCCGAGGACCACAUCACCCACUUCACGCCGCCGCUGGAGCGUGGCGUCGUCUGGCGGAACGCCGACGUGACCAUACUCCUCUGGAUCUAUGGCACGGUCGCCGAUGAGCUGUAUGAGGUGAUCCGGGGCGCCGACAACACCGCCUACACCGCCUGGAGCAAGCUGGACUCGUUCUUCCUCGACAACCAAGCUGGCCGCGCCGUUCAUCUCGGCGCGAAGUUCCGCAACCUGCAGCAAGGCGACAUGUGCAUGGCGGAGUACUGCCGGCGCCUCAAAGCGCUAGCGGGCGCGCUCGCCGAUGUCGACGAGGAGGUCACCGAUCGCGCCCUGACUCUGCAGCUGCUUCGUGGGCUCUCCCGCAGGUAUCAGAUCAUUGCCACCGUCCUGCCGAUGCAAAACCCGUUCCCCACUUUCGUCCAGGCCCGGUCUCGGCUCCUUCUCGAGGAGAUCUCCCUCAACGCCCGCGAUCGCUUUGAGGGCACGACGGCCGUCGCCAUCGGGAUUGGCAACAGCUCGGGCAAUGCGUCCGGUGGAUCCAGCUCCGGCGGCUCCUCCUCCGCGCCCUCCGACGACCGCGACAAGGCACAGGCGGAGCGUGGCGGCUACCAGCCUCGCGGGCGCGGCCAGGGGCGUGGCACCUACCAGAACGGCAACCAGGGCGGACGUGGACAGGCUCAUCUCAUGCCGGGGGGCAGACCCCUAGAUCGGAUAUUUUGCACCGUGGGGUGCGCACUUUCCUCCAUAGGGGCGUGCUCCCUGGGUGCCUCCCAACGCCGCUGGCGUGCUCGGGCCUCGCCCCGGCAACCCUGCUCACGCCUACCCCAUGACCUACCACGGCACGGCUUCUUCUUCGACUCAUCCUCCGCCGCCGCAGCCGUCGUGGGAUCAGGCCGGCCUGAUCGCCGCCAUGCACAACCUGUCUAUGCAGCAGCAGCGCAGCCCGGGGGGCAGGGCGACUGGUACCUCGACUCUGGCGCUUCCGCGCACGUGACUGGGAACCCAGGAUCUGGCCACCCGGACCCCGCUCAUGAGCUGCAGUAG
rnacentral:rRNA from 1 species